rnacentral:rRNA from 1 species
AAACUUUCAACAACGGAUCUCUUGGUUCUGGCAUCGAUGAAGAACGCAGCGAAAUGCGAUAAGUAAUGUGAAUUGCAGAAUUCAGUGAAUCAUCGAAUCUUUGAACGCACAUUGCGCCCCUUGGUAUUCCGAGGGGCAUGCCUGUUCGAGCGUCAUUACACCACUCAAGCCUGGCUUGGUAUUGGGCGCCGCG